GUAGGGUGCGAGCGUUGUCCGGAAUUAUUGGGCGUAAAGAGCUUGUAGGCGGUUUGUCGCGUCUGCCGUGAAAAUCCGAGGCUCAACCUCGGACUUGCGGUGGGUACGGGCAGACUAGAGUGUGGUAGGGGAGACUGGAAUUCCUGGUGUAGCGGUGAAAUGCGCAGAUAUCAGGAGGAACACCGAUGGCGAAGGCAGGUCUCUGGGCCACUACUGACGCUGAGAAGCGAAAGCGUGGGGAGCGAACAGGAUUAGAUACCCUGGUAGUCCACGCCGUAAACGUUGGGAACUAGGUGUGGGCCUCAUUCCACGAGGUCUGUGCCGCAGCUAACGCAUUAAGUUCCCCGCCUGGGGAGUACGGCCGCAAGGCUA
rnacentral:rRNA from 1 species